rnacentral:ncRNA from 1 species
CUCGCUGAGUUUAAGCAUAUCAAUAAGUGGAGGAAAAGAAACUUACCGGGAUUCCCCUAGUAACGGCGAGUGAACCGGGAAAAGCCCUGCUUGAGAAUCGGGCGCCACCGGCGUUUGAAUUGUACUCUGGAGAAGCGUCCUCAUCGGCAGACCGGGCCCAAGUCCCCUGAAAAGGGGUGCCGGGAAGGGUGAGAGCCCCGUCGUGCCCGGACCCUAUCGCACCAUGAGGCGUGUCUACGAGUCGGGUUGUUUGGGAAUGCAGCCCUAAUCGGGCGGUAAAUUCCGUCCAAGGCUAAAUACGGGCGAGAGACCGAUAGCGAACAAGUACCGCGAGGGAAAUAUGAAAAGGACUUUGAAAAGAGAGUCAAAGAGUGCUUGAAAUUGUCGGGAGGGAAGCGGAUGGGGGCCGGCGAUGCGCCCCGGUCGGAUGUGGAACGGCGAGAGCCGGUCCGCCGAUCGGCUCGGGGCGUGGACCGACGCGGGUCGUGGCGGCGGCCCAAGCCCGGGCCUUUGAUACGCCUGUGGAGACGUCGUCGCCUCGAUCGUGGGAUCCAGCACGCGUUGUCUCAGCGUGCUUUGGCACCUGCGUGCUCCGGGCGUCCGCCUACGGGCUCCCCAUUUGGCCCGUCUUGAAACAUGG